AUGGCGGACAGGAGGUCAAGCCCAAAUGUUGGUUUGGCUGUUAGAAAUAAAGUUCUUUCCCAGGCGCUAACAUUAAUCAAAAGCUCGUUGCUACAGGGUCAAGCCCUUUUGGCUUUGCAAAACUUCUUUGCUGCAUUAGUCUAUUCUGCAAAUACAAGUUUUGACACUUUACUGGACUGCCUUCUUGCAAGUGCAAAGCCAUCUCCCCAGUCUGGUGGUGUUGCAAAACAGGCCUUAUAUUCAAUAGCCCAAUGUGUGGCUGUUCUCUGCCUUGCUGCAGGUGACCAGAAAUGUUCAUCUACAGUGAAAAUGCUGACUGAGAUUCUUAAAGAUGACAGUAGUGCCAAUUCAGCUAAGCAGCACCUUGCCUUGCUAUGCCUUGGGGAGAUUGGGAGAAGGAAGGAUCUAAGUUUGCAUGUGCAUAUAGAAACUAUCAUUAUCGAGUCCUUUCAAUCUCCAUUUGAAGAGAUAAAGUCUGCUGCUUCUUAUGCUCUUGGCAAUAUUGCUGUUGGUAAUCUGUCCAAGUAUCUGCCUUUUAUCUUGGACCAGAUUGAUAAUCACCAGAAGAAACAGUAUCUCCUGCUUCAUUCUCUGAAAGAGGUUAUAGUAAGGCAAUCUGUAGAUAAAGCAGAGUUCCAGGAUUCCAGUGUUGAGAAGAUACUUAAAUUGCUAUUCAAUCACUGUGAGAGCGAGGAAGAGGGUGUAAGAAAUGUUGUAGCUGAGUGCCUGGGUAAAAUUGCACUUAUAGAACCUGCAAAACUUGUUCCUGCGCUUAAGGUGAGAACAACUAGUGCAGCUGCAUUCACCAGAGCAACAGUGGUCAUUGCUGUAAAAUAUUCGAUAGUUGAGAGGCCAGAGAAGAUCGAUGAAAUCAUAUACCCUGAGAUUUCAUCUUUUCUCAUGCUCAUCAAGGAUCAUGACCGGCAUGUUAGGCGUGCAGCUGUGUUAGCCUUAAGUACAUUUGCUCACAAUAAGCCUAA
rnacentral:misc_RNA from 1 species